GUCCACGCCGUAAACGAUGUCUACUAGCCGUUGGAGUCCUUGAGGCUUUAGUGGCGCAGCUAACGCACUAAGUAGACCGCCUGGGGAGUACGGUCGCAAGAUUAAAACUCAAAUGAAUUGACGGGGGCCCCGCACAAGCGGUGGAGCAUGUGGUUUAAUUCGACGCAACGCGAAGAACCUUACCAGGUCUUGACAUCUAGAGAACUUUCCAGAGAUGGAUUGGUGCCUUCGGGAACUCUAAGACAGGUGCUGCAUGGCUGUCGU
rnacentral:rRNA from 1 species